rnacentral:rRNA from 1 species
UACGAGAGGCCCAAACGUUAUUCGGAUUUACUGGGCUUAAAGAGUUCGUAGGCGGCGCGGAAAGUGGGGUGUGAAAGCCCUCGGCUCAACCGAGGAAUUGCGCUCCAAACUCCCGUGCUCGAGGAACCUAGAGGUGAGCAGAACUGAUGGUGGAGCGGUGAAAUGCGUUGAUAUCAUCAGGAAUACCGGAGGCGAAGGCGGCUCACUGGGGGUUUUCUGACGCUGAGGAACAAAAGCCAGGGGAGCGAACGGG